GCUGGGGCUGGCCGCCGGCCCGGCGCUUAACUGCGGCAGAAUGGUGGCAGUGACAGGUACGCUACCGGCCACUCGCUCUGGGGCGCCAACAUGGAUCGGCUCUCGCGGAAAGCACGUCACAUCCAGGGCACUGCUGGGCAGACCAAGGGUGGCCGAACUCGCUGCGAACAGAUACAUGGAUACGACAAAGGUGAUAUUCCCAGGGGCACCUGAUAAACCUACACUCAAAUCUCCCUCCCGAGUGUUUCCAGGGAACCCGACCUCAAACAACCUUUGGAUGCCCAGCCCAGACGGGUGUCUGGCAUAUAGCAGAUGCUCAAUAAAUAUUUAUUGAGGGAA